rnacentral:misc_RNA from 1 species
AUGGGUUGGAGUGAACAACUAUGGUAUGCCAUGCUUCUUCGGUUGUGUUCUUCUUCGAGAGGAAAGUUUGAGAUCCUACUCUUGGGCUUUGAAGGUGUUCUUGGCGUUCAUGAAUGGGAAGGCUCCACAAACAGUACUAACUGAUCAAAACAUGUGUCUCAAAGAGGCGAUUAACUUGGAGAUGCCCACGACUAAGCACGCCCUUUGCAUCUGGCUUGUUGUAGCAAAGUACCCAUCAUGGUUUAAUGCUGUUUUAGGAGAGCGCUACAACGAGUGGAAGGCUGAAUUUAACCGACUAUAUAAUUUGGAAUCUGUGGAGGACUUUGAGUUGGGGUGGAGAGACAUGGUGAACUCAUAUGGACUGCAUACAAACAGGCAUAUUGCCAGUCUAUUUGCCUUGAGAUCACUGUGGGCACUGCCAUACCUUAGGAGCCACUUUUUUGCCGGUAUGACCACAACAGGCCACUCAAAGUCAAUAAAUGCUUUUAUCCAACGGUUUCUGAGUGCACAAAGCCGGCUAGCACAUUUUGUGGAACAAGUGGCUG